UGCAGAAUCCCGUGAACCAUCGAGUCUUUGAACGCAAGUUGCGCCCGAAGCCUUCUGGCCGAGGGCACGCCUGCCUGGGUGUCACACAUCGUCGCCCCCCAAAAUCCGAUCUCUCGCAAGGGACGAUCGGGAAGAGGAUGGGCGGAAAAUGGUCUCCCGUGCGCUCCCGUUCGCGGUUGGCCCAAAAAUGAGUUCCUGGCAAAGCAAAGCCACGACCAGCGGUGGUUGUAAGACCCUCGGUACAAGUCGUGAGCCUUGCGUUGCGAAUACGGACAUGUUGACCCUGAACGUGAUCGAGUAACUUCGAACGCUCACAAAGUGACCCCAGGUCAGGCGGGACUACCCGCUGAAUUUAAGCAUAUCAAUAAGCGGAGGAAAAGAAACUAACAAGGAUUCCCCUAGUAACGGCGAGCGAACCGGGAAAUGCCCAGCUUGAAAAUCGGACGCCCCAGGCGUUCGA
rnacentral:rRNA from 1 species